rnacentral:rRNA from 1 species
CUCAUUAAAUCAGUUAUAGUUUAUUUGAUGGUCUCUUUUGUCUUUUUUUACCUACUUGGAUAACCGUGGUAAUUCUAGAGCUAAUACAUGCGCAAGGUCCCGAGCGCGGGGGGGCAGGGCUUCACGGCCCUGUCCUCGCAUGCGCAGAGGGAUGUAUUUAUUAGGUUAAAAACCAGCGGCAGGGGUCAGCAAUGGCCCCUGCCAAACACUCCUGGUGGUUCAUAGUAACUCUUUCGGAUCGCAUUCAUG